ACUUUUUAGAAUGAGAUCCUCAUUCAAGUUUGUGCGCGUACGAAGCCGCCCGCUGAAUAUCCACAUUAUACAAAACAUAAUUAAGUUUGCAAACUUCUUAUAAUUCUGUCAAAGCCGUCGAAAGUUUUAUUAUAAUUUGGAAUAAACAAGGAGGGUAUAAAAUCGUAGGAAUCUCGGUUUCUGGAGCAUUACGUUCAAGUGUGUCGCUGUGGUAGCCAUUGAAAGGGAUAACAUAUCAAAAUGAACAGCAAGGUUUACAUUAUCGUACUGGUGGUUUAUAGCGUCGCGGUGUCAUCACACAUACUAACAAACAACUAUGUGGGAUUCUCCAAAACUGUCUGCAAGAGGGCACUAGCACAAGCCGUGUUUCAUUUGUGUAAUGGAGGCUUCUACGGAGAUUCUUCUGAGAUGUCCUACGACAGCGAUGAUGCAUUGAUGCCCCCGGCGUUCCUUGAUCUCAUAGACCAAUGUUGCAUAAGACCGUGCCCAUUGGUCGAACUGAUGUCAUUAUGCUAAAGAGGAUACUAACAUAAUUUUAAUUACGGGUAUUAGUUUUGCCUAAUUAGAUUUUAUUGUGACGACGGGUUAUUGGCUUUAUAUUUUUAGUUUAAGUUUAAAAUUUU
rnacentral:lncRNA from 1 species